CAGUAAAGUCAUCUAAUUGAGAUGGUGAACACUUUUGAUAGAGAUUGGAAAUAAUAGUGAUGCAAUUUUCGGCCUCUCUGAAAUUUUUCUGUUUGAAGAUGGUCUUGAGCACAUUGCUACAUU